ACGCUGUAAACGAUGAGUACUAGGUGUCGGGGGUUACCCCCUUCGGUGCCGCAGCUAACGCAUUAAGUACUCCGCCUGGGAAGUACGCUCGCAAGAGUGAAACUCAAAGGAAUUGACGGGGACCCGCCCAAGUAGCGGAGCAUGUGGUUUAAUUCGAAGCAACGCGAAGAACCUUACCUAAGCUUGACAUCCCAAUGACAUCUCCUUAAUCGGAGAGUUCCCUUCGGGGACAUUGGUGACAGGUGGUGCAUGGUUGUCGUCAGCUCGUGUCGUGAGAUGUUGGGUUAAGUCCCGCAACGAGCGCAACCCUUGUCUUUAGUUGCCAUCAUUAAGUUGGGCACUCUAGAGAGACUGCCAGGGAUAACCUGGAGGAAGGUGGGGAUGACGUCAAAUCAUCAUGCC
rnacentral:rRNA from 1 species